GCCGAGGUAGCUCAGUAGGUAGAGCACAGGACUGAAAAUCCUGGUGUCCGCGGUUCGAUUCCGCGCCUCGGCA
rnacentral:tRNA from 1 species